AAGAGGCAGAAGCUAGGACUUCCUAUGGACUAUAUCCAAAAACGACAAGAGGAAGGAUAUUUGAGCAGAGGAUUUACUGAAGGUUGGAUAACAUAAUUUAAAAAAACAAGUGUAACAGGCCCCACUGAUCAGUGGACAUAAAAUUCUUUUGAGGAUAUAUGGACAGUACAGACCCAAUGUAACCAGCAUCAGGUAUGUAAUUUUGGAGGGGUAGGAUGGGAUGUUAAACUUUUUUCCUUUGUUUAUACAGCAGUGUAUUUAUUUUAAAACAAACAGUAGAAAAAUCUUUCCAGAAGAAAAUAUAAUUUGAUGAAAAGGCAGAUGAAAAUUUUUAACACACACUUUUUUUUAUUUUGCAAAUUGGCAAAUAUGAAGCCAGUUCUCAGCAGCAAGAAAGCUAUUCACAAAUCUUUACUUGUUGAAACAUUAAUUUUGCUAGAUUCUUCUGUUCUCUGAGAUAACAUGUCCCAAACAUAUUCUACACUUGCAUCACAGACGUAGCAGUCAGGAUAAAAUUUGUGGAGCCAGAACAGGACAAUUACUCUGAGUAACUGGAGCAUGGAAUACAGAUCAGCUUGAGUCAGAAAACUCUUUGUGCUUCCCCCACUUUGGUGGAUCCCUGAGCCUGCAAGUGUGCAGGCUGAUGUCAUACGCUGAGCAGCAGUCCCCGGGAGAGGAGCUUGACUGGGAAGCUUAGCCCUAGGAAAUUAAAAGCUGCAGCAGAGGGGGUGCUGAGCUAAGCUGUGUCACGACGCUCUCAAAAUGCGGUGCCUGUGUGCAGUCCUCAGACCCCUCAGCAGUGAUAGCUCAUGCUCCAUCUAUUACAAACAGAGACCUCCUUCAGAAGAGCACAUCUGAACUUUGUUUUCUUCCCUCCUCCAGUGUGAUUUGCAGCUUUUGAGGCAGCUCUUCUGAGGAGGAUUUGAAUAUAUUAGUAGGACUUAAAGACACUUUUCAUGGUGACCUUUAAAAUAUCUCAAGCUGUGAACCAACUUUAGUCUGGAGUGGGGAGAACUCUUCAGCUUGAGAUUUCAGAAUAAAUGAAGCACAGCACUUU